rnacentral:rRNA from 1 species
GACGAACGCUGGCGGCGUGCUUAACACAUGCAAGUCUACGAGAACGAGGUAGCAAUAUCUUUAGUAAAGUGGCGUACGGGUGCGUAACACGUAAGCAAUCUACCUUUGGGUCUGGAAUAACUUCGAGAAAUCGAGGCUAAUACCGGAUAAUGCAGCGGCACCGCAUGGUGAUGUUGUUAAAGUUUAUGUAAUGCCUAUAGAUGAGCUUGCGUCUGAUUAGCUAGUUGGUGAGGUAACGGCCCACCAAGGCUACGAUCAGUAGCUGGUCUGAGAGGAUGAUCAGCCACACUGGAACUGAGACACGGUCCAGACUCCUACGGGAGGCAGCAGUGAGGAAUAUUGGGCAAUGCCCGCAAGGGUGACCCAGCAACGCCGCGUGGAGGAUGAAGGUCGUAAGAUCGUAAACUCCUGUUAGAGGGGAAGAACACCACCGAUUGGAUCGGUGUUUGACUGUACCCUCAGAGAAAGCCCCGGCUAACUACGUGCCAG